rnacentral:miRNA from 2 species
CAGUGCAAUAUUAAAAAGGGCAU